rnacentral:rRNA from 1 species
ACGUAGGCAGCAAGCGUUGUUCGGAAUUACUGGGCGUAAAGAGUGCGUAGGUGGUGUUCCAAGUCUGGUGUGAAAUCUCCCGGCUCAACUGGGAGGGUGCGCCGGAAACUGGAAUGCUUGAGGGUGGGAGAGGUAAGCGGAAUUCCUGGUGUAGCGGUGAAAUGCGUAGAUAUCAGGAGGAACACCUGUGGUGUAGACAGCUUACUGGACCACUUCUGACACUGAGGCACGAAAGCGUGGGUAGCAAACAGGAUUAGAUACCCUGGUAGUCCACGCCCUAAACGAUGCAUACUUGGUGUGAGCCAUUCAUUUGGUUCGUGCCGGAGCUAACGCGUUAAGUAUGCCGCCUGGGGAGUACGGUCGCAAGGCUG